rnacentral:ncRNA from 1 species
CAAGGCUAAAUACUCCCUAGUGACCGAUAGUGAACCAGUACCGUGAGGGAAAGGUGAAAAGCACCCCGGAAGGGGAGUGAAACAGUUCCUGAAACCGUGUGCCUACAAGUAGUUAGAGCCCGUUAAUGGGUGAUAGCGUGCCUUUUGUAGAAUGAACCGGCGAGUUACGAUUUGUUGCAAGGUUAAGCGGAAAAAGCGGAGCCGUAGCGAAAGCGAGUCUGAAUAGGGCGGUUGAAGUAACAGGUCGUAGACCCGAAACCAGGUGAUCUACCCAUGUCCAGGAUGAAGGUAAGGUAAUACUUACUGGAGGUCCGAACCCACGCACGUUGAAAAGUGCGGGGAUGAGGUGUGGGUAGCGGAGAAAUUCCAAUCGAACUUGGAGAUAGCUGGUUCUCUCCGAAAUAGCUUUAGGGCUAGCCUCGAAGGAAGAGUCAUGGAGGUAGAGCACUGUUUGGACUAGGGGCCC